rnacentral:rRNA from 1 species
UACGGAGGGUCCAAGCGUUAUCCGGAAUCAUUGGGUUUAAAGGGUCCGUAGGCGGUUUUGUAAGUCAGUGGUGAAAGCCCAUCGCUCAACGGUGGAACGGCCAUUGAUACUGCAAGACUUGAAUUAUUAGGAAGUAACUAGAAUAUGUAGUGUAGCGGUGAAAUGCUUAGAGAUUACAUGGAAUACCAAUUGCGAAGGCAGGUUACUACUAAUGAAUUGACGCUGAUGGACGAAAGCGUGGGUAGCGAACAGG